rfam:Triticum aestivum genome assembly, contig: Triticum_aestivum_CS42_TGACv1_scaffold_146314_2BS
AUUCUACUCCCUCCGUUGCACAUUACAUGCCUUCUAUUUGUCAAAAUAUAUAUGUAUCUAGACAUGUUUUAGUAUAUAGGUACAUCCAUUUUUGGACAAAUGGAAGUCAAGUAUUUUGGAACGGAGGGAGUACACA